rnacentral:piRNA from 1 species
UCCGUUGGAUCCAGUUGAUUGAAAUUGCC